GAGAACUCACACAUCACACAACGAUCAGCAAGUCUUUCCUUCAACGCAGAAACUAGUUAAGAUGAGGACCACCCAGGUGUUGCUCCUGGCCCUCGCCUUGCUCAUGGUGGCGUCAGGCGUGGUAACGGAGGCUUCAAUGGACGGCAGCGCUAAGUUCAAGUACAGGUGUGGGUCAACCCUUAUCCCAUUACCAAAGCCAUGUAACGACGACACUUGUGAUAUGGCAUGCUUCAACCUUAUGAGGGUGCCCAAGCCAAGGCAAGUGUGAUGCUGUCGGGUGCAAGUGCACGAUGUGCGAACCACUGUAAUGAACAAAUGGGUAGCAGCAAGGUUGUUCACUGGUAAUCGGCGUAUAAAUAAUGAUGCGUUUGGCCUAGCUUCUUGAACUAUAUAAAAUUAUGAAGCUAUGCUACA